UACGGAGGGUGCAAGCGUUAGUCCGGAUUCACUGGGUUUAAAGGGUGCGUAGGUGGGUUGGUAAGUCAGUGGUGAAAUCUCCGAGCUUAACUUGGAAACUGCCAUUGAUACUAUCAGUCUUGAAUAUUGUGGAGGUCAGCGGAAUAUGUCAUGUAGCGGUGAAAUGCUUAGAUAUGACAUAGAACACCAAUUGCGAAGGCAGCUGGCUACACAUAUAUUGACACUGAGGCACGAAAGCGUGGGGAUCAAACAGG
rnacentral:rRNA from 1 species